CUUUCUACAGGCUUAACACAUGCAAGUCGAGGGGCAGCAUGGUCUUAGCUUGCUAAGGCCGAUGGCGACCGGCGCACGGGUGAGUAACACGUAUCCAACCUGCCGUCUACUCUUGGACAGCCUUCUGAAAGGAAGAUUAAUACAAGAUGGCAUCAUGAGUCCACAUGUUCACAUGAUUAAAGGUAUUCCGGUAGACGAUGGGGAUGCGUUCCAUUAGAUAGUAGGCGGGGUAACGGCCCACCUAGUCUUCGAUGGAUAGGGGUUCUGAGAGGAAGGUCCCCCACAUUGGAACUGAGACACGGUCCAAACUCCUACGGGAGGCAGCAGUGAGGAAUAUUGGUCAAUGGGCGAGAGCCUGAACCAGCCAAGUAGCGUGAAGGAUGACUGCCCUAUGGGUUGUAAACUUCUUUUAUAAAGGAAUAAAGUCGGGUAUGCAUACCCGUUUGCAUGUACUUUAUGAAUAAGGAUCGGCUAACUCCGUGCCAGCAGCCGCGGUAAUACGGAGGAUCCGAGCGUUAUCCGGAUUUAUUGGGUUUAAAGGGAGCGUAGAUGGAUGUUUAAGUCAGUUGUGAAAGUUUGCGGCUCAACCGUAAAAUUGCAGUUGAUACUGGAUAUCUUGAGUGCAGUUGAGGCAGGCGGAAUUCGUGGUGUAGCGGUGAAAUGCUUAGAUAUCACGAAGAACUCCGAUUGCGAAGGCAGCCUGCUAAGCUGCAACUGACAUUGAGGCUCGAAAGUGUGGGUAUCAAACAGGAUUAGAUACCCUGGUAGUCCACACGGUAAACGAUGAAUACUCGCUGUUUGCGAUAUACAGCAAGCGGCCAAGCGAAAGCGUUAAGUAUUCCACCUGGGGAGUACGCCGGCAACGGUGAAACUCAAAGGAAUUGACGGGGGCCCGCACAAGCGGAGGAACAUGUGGUUUAAUUCGAUGAUACGCGAGGAACCUUACCCGGGCUUAAAUUGCAGAUGAAUUACGGUGAAAGCCGUAAGCCGCAAGGCAUCUGUGAAGGUGCUGCAUGGUUGUCGUCAGCUCGUGCCGUGAGGUGUCGGCUUAAGUGCCAUAACGAGCGCAACCCUUGUUGUCAGUUACUAACAGGUCAUGCUGAGGACUCUGACAAGACUGCCAUCGUAAGAUGUGAGGAAGGUGGGGAUGACGUCAAAUCAGCACGGCCCUUACGUCCGGGGCUACACACGUGUUACAAUGGGGGGUACAGAGGGCCGCUACCACGCGAGUGGAUGCCAAUCCCAAAAACCUCUCUCAGUUCGGACUGGAGUCUGCAACCCGACUCCACGAAGCUGGAUUCGCUAGUAAUCGCGCGUCAGCCACGGCGCGGUGAAUACGUUCCCGGGCCUUGUACACACCGCCCGUCAAGCCAUGGGAGCCGGGGGUACCUGAAGUGCGUAACCGCGAGGAGCGCCCUAGGGUAAAACUGGUGACUGGG
rnacentral:rRNA from 1 species